UACGUAGGGUGCAAGCGUUGUCCGGAAUUAUUGGGCGUAAAGAGCUCGUAGGCGGCUUGACAAGUCAAAGGUGAAAUCCCUCGGCUCAACUGAGGAACUGCCUUUGAAACUGUCUGGCUUGAGGCCGGGAGGGGGUAGUGGAAUUCCCAGUGUAGCGGUGAAAUGCGUAGAUACUGGGAGGAACACCAGUGGCGAAGGCGGCUACCUGGACCGGUUCUGACGCUGAGGCGCGAAAGCGUGGGUAGCAAACAGG
rnacentral:rRNA from 1 species